rnacentral:rRNA from 1 species
UCGAGAAUCUUCCGCAAUGGGCGAAAGCCUGACGGAGCGACACCGCGUGAUUGAUGAAGUCCCUUUGGGACGUAAAGAUCUUUUAUGAGGGAAGAAGUUUAUUGACUGUACCUCAUGAAUAAGAGGCUCCUAAUCUCGUGCCAGCAGGAGCGGUAAUACGAGAGCCUCGAGCGUUAUCCGGAAUUAUUGGGCGUAAAGGGUGUGUAGGUUGUUCUGUUAGUCUUUUGUCAAAUUCCUGGGCUUAACCCAGGCGUCGCGAAGGAAACGGCAGAACUUGAAAGUGUGAGAGGCGUACGGAACUUAUGGUGUAGGGGUGAAAUCCGUUGAUAUCAUAGGGAACACCAAAUGCGAAGGCAGUACGCUGGCGCAUAUUUGACACUGAAACACGAAAGCGUGGGUAGCGAAUGGG